GACGAACGCUGGCGGCGUGCUUAACACAUGCAAGUCGAACGGUAAGGCCCUUCGGGGUACACGAGUGGCGAACGGGUGAGUAACACGUGGGUGAUCUGCCCUGCACUUCGGGAUAAGCCUGGGAAACUGGGUCUAAUACCGGAUAGGACCACUGCCUGCAUGGGUGGUGGUGGAAAGCUUUUGCGGUGUGGGAUGGGCCCGCGGCCUAUCAGCUUGUUGGUGGGGUGAUGGCCUACCAAGGCGACGACGGGUAGCCGGCCUGAGAGGGUGACCAGCCACACUGGGACAGGGAGACGGCCCAGAUUCCUUCGGGAGGCAGCAGUGGGGAAUAUUGCACAAUGGGCGCAAGCCUGAUGCAGCGACGCCGCGUGGGGGAUGACGGCCUUCGGGUUGUAAACCUCUUUCAGCACCGACGAAGCGCAAGUGACGGUAGGUGCAGAAGAAGGACCGGCCAACUACGUGCCAGCCGCCGCCGUAA
rnacentral:rRNA from 1 species